CAAGUCAGAUGUGAAAGCCUUCUGUUCAACGGGAGAAUUGCAUCUGAAACUGCUAAUCUUGAGUAUAGGAUGGGAGAAUGGAACUUCUGGUGGAGCGGUGAAAUGCGUAGAUAUCAGAAGGAACGCCGGCGGCGAAAGCGAUUCUCUGGCCUAUUACUGACACUCAGUGUGCGAAAGCUAGGGGAGCAAACGGGAUUAGAUACCCCGGUAGUCCUAGCCGUAAACGAUGGGCACUAAGUAGAGGGGAUUACCUAUGUUCUCUCUGCCGUAGCUAACGCAUUAAGUGCCCCGCCUGGGGAGUACGGCCGCAAGGCUAAAACUCAAAAGAAUUGACGGGGGCUCGCACAAGCGGUGGAGCAUGUGGCUUAAUUCGAUGCAACGCGAAAAACCUUACCGGGGCUUGACAUGAUAGAAGUAGGAACCUGAAAGGGGGACGAACGGUAUCCAGUCCGUAGCUAUUACAGGUGUUGCAUGGCUGUCGUCAGCUCGUGUCGUGAGACGUUGGGUUAAGUCCCCUAACGAGCGAAACCCUUGUUUUUAGUUACCAGCGGGUUAUGCCGGGUACUCUAGGAAGACUGCCGUCGUCAAGACGGAGGAAGGUGGGGAUGACGUCAAGUCAUCAUGGCCCUUAUGCCCCGGGCUGCACACGUGCUACAAUGGUCGGUACAGACGGAAGCG
rnacentral:rRNA from 1 species